UACGGGAGGCAGCAGUGGGGAAUAUUGCACAAUGGGCGAAAGCCUGAUGCAGCUAUGCCGCGUGUAUGAAGAAGGCCUUAGGGUUGUAAAGUACUUUCAUCGGGGAGGAAAAACAAAACUAAUAAUUUUAUUUCUUGACGUUACCCGAAAAAGAAGCACCGGCUAACUCCGUGCCAGCAGCCGCGGUAAUACGGAGGGUGCUAGCGUUAAUCAGAAUUACUGGGCGUAAAGAGCACGUAGGUGGUUUUUUUAAGUCAGAUGUUGAAAUCCCUGGGCUUAACCUAGGAACUGCAUUUUGAAACUGAAAUACUAGAGUAUCGUAGAGGGAGGUAGAAUUCGUAGGUGUAGCGGUGAAAUGCGUAGAUAUCUGGAGGAAUACCUGUGGCGAAAGCGGCCUCCUAAACGAAUACUGACACUGAGGUGCGAAAGCGUGGGGAGCGAAACAGGGAUUAGAUACCCGU
rnacentral:rRNA from 1 species